UCCAGCAUUUUUCUCUGGUACAUCUGAACAUUCUUCUCAUUUAUUUGCUCAUUCAUUUGACGCACAAUUAGCUAUUCUGCCUUGAGUUUGAAUAAAAAGAGAAAGACCGAGAGAAAGACCGCGGAGUGAUCCGAGAAACAUGAAAGUAGCUCCGGCGUGUAACAGAACGGUUGCCUGGAUACGGCAGAACUACUUGACAGUGCAUGACGCAACAGCCGUGUGGCUGGCGUCACAAUAUGAAUACUAUAUAAGCUGUGGGAAUCGGCGCUUGACAGAAGUCUGCCUCGUCUUGCAGUACAGAGAAGAUUAAGCAGAAUAUUAUUAUCAUCUGUUGAUCUUUUAUGAACAGAUUAGAAAGCUGUGGAAGAAAAAUAGCAGCAUCCUGACAGAAAGAGCAUUACUUGCUUCUGUGUUGUUUUCCUAGAGAAGGUUGAGAUGAUGGACGUUUGGCUUUUGCUGACUUUUGCUGAUUGUCUAUGAUACUUACCUUUAUAAUCAGUGUGGCUCAGUGGCAACGGACCAUUUCAUGAAACCGCACUAUAAGACCUUCACAGAAAAAAAGCUGUAGAGAUCCAAACCCACACAUCAGACAAAACAUUUCCGUUGCCACUGAGUCACUCUGAUUAUAAAGGUAAGUAAGUAUCAGACAAUCAGCAAAAGUGUGCAUCAGUGUGCAACAACAUGGACUAGGAGCGACACUGAGGAUGAUGGGAAUGACUCUUAAUCAUUCGACCUCUGAUCCAAAGAUCAGAAAGCUGUGGAGAGAAAACAGCAACAUCCUGACAGAGAGAGCAUUACUUGCUUCUGUGUUGUUUUCCUAGAGAAGGUUGAGAUGAUGGACCUUUGGCUUUUGCUGACUUUUGCUGAUUGUCUAUGAUACUUACCUUUAUAAUCAUUGUGGCUCAGUGUCAACGGACCAUUUCAUGAAAUCGCACUAUAAGACAUUCACAGAAAAAAAGCUGUGGAGAUCCAAACCCACACAUCGGAUAAAACAUUUCCGUUGCCACUGAGUCACUCUGAUUAUAAAGGUAAGUAAGUAUCAGACAAUCAGCAAAAGUGUGCAUCAGUGUGCAACAACAUGGACUCUAGGAGCGACACUGAGGAUGAUGGGAAUGACUCUUAAUCAUUCGACCUCUGAUCCAAAGAUCAGAAAGCUGUGGAGGAAAAACAGCAACAUCCUGACAGAGAGAGCAUUACUUGCUUCUGUGUUGGUAAAUUUGAAGCAUUUCAUAUUUCUAGCAAUUUCUUUACCCAGUCGUGUCCUUUUCUCUCAUAGUUUUCCUAGAGAAGGUUGAGAUGAUGGACUUUGGCUUUUGCUGACUUUUGCUGAUUGUCUAUGAUACUUACCUUUAUAAUCAGUGUGGCUCAGUGGCAACGGACCAUUUCAUGAAACCGCACUAUAAGACAUUCACAGAAAAAAAGCUGUGGAGAUCCAAACACACACGUCGGACCAAACAUUUCCGUUGCCACUGAGUCACUCUGAUUAUAAAGGUAAGUAAGUAUCAGACAAUCAGCAAAAGUGUGCAUCAGUGUGCAACAACAUGGACUCUAGGAGCGACACUGAGGAUGAUGGGAAUGACUCUUAAUCAUUCGACCUCUGAUCCAAAGAUCAGAAAGCUGUGGAGAGAAAACAGCAACAUCCUGACAGAGAGAGCAUUACUUGCUUCUGUUUUGAAAAAAGAUCGGACAUCGACCCCACAUAGGGCAAAAUAUUUCCGUAGCCACAGAGCCACACUGAUUAUAAUGGACAGUUUGUAAACAGGAAGUGAAGUGGGAAAGAGAAAGGGGGACGGGAUCAGGAAAAGUCCAUGAGCCGGGACUUGAACUCAGUUUGCCCAAAGCACAAUGCCGCAAUAUGUCAGCACGCUUCCCAUAAGGUUAUCUGCGCCAACCAACCAGCAUCAGUGUGAUAAAUAUUAGAACCUCAUUGUGCAAGAACCAUUGGGGGAACACAAUCCAACGGCAAACAAUCCAGCUGUUGGAAUCCGUUCCCCCACCUGUUCGAUUAGAGAUAUUGAUGUAGUGGUUUAAAAAUGCUGAUUCUAUUCUGAGAAUGGAGCUUAACCAGCAUUAGUUAAGAUUAGUAAGAUUUAUUUUUGGCGUUUUUGCUUUUUAUCAUAAUAGGGAAAAGGGAGGGAUGUGAUCAAGAAAAGUGCACAAACCAGAACAUGAACGCAGCCUCCCAAAGCACAACAGCACUAUAUGUCAGCAUGCUGCCCAUGAGGCUAUCGGCUCCACCUAACCAGCAUCAGUUUGAUAAAUAUUAGAACCUCAUCAUUUAAGAAACAUGGGGGCAACAGAACCCGAAAGCAAACAGUCUGGCUGCCAGAAUCCGUUCCCCCACCUAUAUGAUGAGAGAUGUUGAUGUAGUGGCUUAAAAGAUGCUAAUUCUAUUCUGUGUGAGGAUGGAGCUUAACCAGCAUAAUUUUAAAGAUUUAUUUUUGCCUUUUAUUAUGAUAGGACAGUAUGUAGACAGGAAGCAAAGUAGGAGAGAGAAAGGGUGAUGGGAUCAGGAAAAGUACACAAGCCGGGACUUGAACUUGGUUUGCCCAAAGCACAACGGCGCAAUAUGUCAGCACACUUCCCACGAGGCUAUCGGCACCAACCCACCCGCAUCAGUUUGAUAAAUAUUAGAACCUCAUCGUGUAAGAAACAUGGGGGGAACAGAAUCUGACGGCAAACAAUCCAGCUGUAUGAUGAGAGAUGUUGAUGUAGUGGCGGCUUAAAAGAUGCUAAUUCUAUUCUUUGUGAGAAUGGAGCUUAACCGUUUUUGCUUUUUAUUAUAAUAGGGUAUUAUGUAGACAGGAAGCGAAAUGAGAGAGAGAGGGAUGCGAUCAAGAAAAGUGCACAAACCGGAACAUGAACUCAGUCUCCCAAAGCACAACAGCACUAUAUGUCAGCAUGCUGCCCACGAGGCUAUCGGUGCCAACUAACCAGCGCCUGUUUGACAAAUUUUAGAACAUCAUUGUUUAAGAAAAAUGGGGGGGACAGAAUCUGACGGCAAACAAUCCAGCUGUCAGAAUCCGCUCCCCCACCUAUAUGAUGAGAGAUGUUGAUGUAGUGGCGGCUUAAAAGAUGCUAAUUCUAUUCUGUGUGAGAAUGGAGCUUAACCAUUUUUGCUUUUUAUUAUAAUAGGGUAUUAUGUAGACAGGAAGCGAAAUGAGAGAGAGAGGGAUGCGAUCAAGAAAAGUGCACAAACCGGAACAUGAACUCAGUCUCCCAAAGCACAACAGCACUAUAUGUCAGCAUGCUGCCCACGAGGCUAUCGGUGCCAACUAACCAGCGCCUGUUUGACAAAUUUUAGAACAUCAUUGUUUAAGAAAAACGGGGGGGACAGAAUCUGACGGCAAACAAUCCAGCUGUCAGAAUCCGUUCCCCCACCUAUAUGAUGAGAGAUGUUGAUGUAGUGGCGGCUUAAAAGAUGCUAAUUCUAUUCUGUGUGAGGAUGGAGCUUAACCAUUUUUGCUUUUUAUUAUAAUAGGGUAUUAUGUAGACAGGAAGCGAAAUGAGAGAGAGAGGGAUGCGAUCAAGAAAAGUGCACGAGCCGGAACAUGAACGCAGCCUCCCAAAGCACAACAGCACUAUAUGUCAGCAUGCUGCCCACGAGGCUAUCGGUGCCAACUAACCGGCGCCUGUUUGACAAAUUUUAGAACAUCAUUGUUUAAGAAAAACGGGGGGGACAGAAUCUGACGGCAAACAAUCCAGCUGUCAAAAUCCGUUCCCCCACCUAUAUGAUGAGAGAUGUUGAUGUAGUGGCGGCUUAAAAGAUGCUAAUUCUAUUCUGUGUGAGGAUGGAGCUUAACCAGCAUCACUUUAGUGACCAAUAUCACUUUAAAGAUUUAUUUUUGCCUUUUAUUAUGACAGGACAGUUUGUAAACAGGAAGUGAAGUGGGAAAGAGAAAGGGGGACGGGAUCAGGAAAAGUCCAUGAGCCGGGACUUGAACUCGGUUUGCCCAAAGCACAAUGGCGCAAUAUGUCAGCACGCUUCCCAUAAGGUUAUCUGCGCCAACCAACCAGCAUCAGUGUGAUAAAUAUUAGAACCUCAUUGUGCAAGAACCAUUGGGGGAACACAAUCCAACGGCAAACAAUCCAGCUGUUGGAAUCCGUUCCCCCACCUGUUCGAUUAGAGAUAUUGAUGUAGUGGUUUAAAAAUGCUGAUUCUAUUCUGAGAAUGGAGCUUAACCAGCAUUAGUUAAGAUUAGUAAGAUUUAUUUUUGGCGUUUUUGCUUUUUAUCAUAAUAGGGAAAAGGGAGGGAUGCGAUCAAGAAAAGUGCACAAACCAGAACAUGAACGCAGCCUCCCAAAGCACAACAGCACUAUAUGUCAGCAUGCUGCCCAUGAGGCUAUCGGCUCCACCUAACCAGCAUCAGUUUGAUAAAUAUUAGAACCUCAUUGUGUAAGAAACAUGGGGGGAACAGAACCCGAAAGCAAACAGUCCGGCUGCCAGAAUCCGUUCCCCCACCUAUAUGAUGAGAGAUGUUGAUGUAGUGGCUUAAAAGAUGCUAAUUCUAUUCUGUGUGAGGAUGGAGCUUAACCAGCAUAAUUUUAAAGAUUUAUUUUUGCCUUUUAUUAUGAUAGGACAGUAUGUAGACAGGAAGCAAAGUAGGAGAGAGAAAGGGUGAUGGGAUCAGGAAAAGUACACAAGCCGGGACUUGAACUUGGUUUGCCCAAAGCACAACGGCGCAAUAUGUCAGCACACUUCCCACGAGGCUAUCGGCACCAACCCACCCGCAUCAGUUUGAUAAAUAUUAGAACCUCAUCGUGUAAGAAACAUGGGGGGAACAGAAUCUGACGGCAAACAAUCCAGCU